AGGAUUGUAGUUAAUUAUAACAUUUGAUUUGCAUUCAAAAAGUAUCUUAUAGAGAUUAAUCUUG
rnacentral:tRNA from 1 species